GACGAACGCUGGCGGCGUGCUUAACACAUGCAAGUCGAACGAAGAGCGAUGGAAGCUUGCUUCUAUCAAUCUUAGUGGCGAACGGGUGAGUAACGCGUAAUCAACCUGCCCUUCAGAGGGGGACAACAGUUGGAAACGACUGCUAAUACCGCAUACGAUCUAACCUCGGCAUCGAGGAUAGAUGAAAGGUGGCCUCUAUUUAUAAGCUAUCACUGAAGGAGGGGAUUGCGUCUGAUUAGCUAGUUGGAGGGGUAACGGCCCACCAAGGCGAUGAUCAGUAGCCGGUCUGAGAGGAUGAACGGCCACAUUGGGACUGAGACACGGCCCAGACUCCUACGGGAGGCAGCAGUGGGGAAUCUUCCGCAAUGGACGAAAGUCUGACGGAGCAACGCCGCGUGAGUGAUGACGGCCU
rnacentral:rRNA from 1 species